UACGUAGGGGGCUAGCGUUGUCCGGAAUCAUUGGGCGUAAAGCGCGUGUAGGCGGCCCGGUAAGUCCGCUCUGAAAGUCCAGGGCUCAACCCUGGGAUGCGGGUGGAUACUGUCGGGCUCGAGUCCGGAAGAGGCGAGUGGAAUUCCUGGUGUAGCGGUGAAAUGCGCAGAUAUCAGGAGGAACACCAAUGGCGAAGGCAGCUCGCUGGGACGUGACUGACGCUGAGACGCGAAAGCGUGGGGAGCAAACAGG
rnacentral:rRNA from 1 species